rnacentral:rRNA from 1 species
GAUGAACGCUGGCGGCGUACUUAACACAUGCAAGUCGAACGAGAAGUGGAGACGGAAACCUUCGGGCGGAAGACUUUAUUUCGAGUGGCGGACGGGUGAGUAACGCGUGGGUAACCUGCCUCAUACAGGGGGAUAACAGUUGGAAACGACUGUUAAUACCGCAUAAGACCACAGCACCGCAUGGUGCGGGGGUAAAAACUCCGGUGGUAUGAGAUGGACCCGCGUUCGAUUAGCCAGUUGGCGGGGUAACGGCCCACCAAAGCGACGAUCGAUAGCCGAUCUGAGAGGAUGACCGGCCACAUUGGGACUGAGACACGGCCCAAACUCCUACGGGAGGCAGCAGUGGGGAAUAUUGCACAAUGGGGGAAACCCUGAUGCAGCGACGCCGCGUGAGUGAAGAAGUAUUUCGGUAUGUAAAGCUCUAUCAGCAGGGAAGAAAAUGACGGUACCUGAGUAAGAAGCCCCGGCUAACUACGUG